GAUGAAGAACGCAGCGAAACGCGAUAGUUAAUGUGAAUUGCAGAAUUCAGUGAAUCAUCGAGUCUUUGAACGCAUAUUGCGCCCAUUGGUAUUCCAUUGGGCAUGUCUGUUUGAGCGUCAUUACAAACCCUCGACCCAGGUCGGUUUUGAGCUGGCUUAACGGGUGCAAACCCAAGCCGGUUUUAAAGUUGUAGGCUUUGCUGACAGCUGCUCCAACCAACAACAUAGUAAAACAUACUUGUUCUAGGUGGGGUGGUUCCAGCCUUGAAAAUGACACUUGUGGUUUGACCUCAGAUCAGAUAAGGAUACCCGCUGAACUUAAGCAUAUCAAUAAGCGGAGGA
rnacentral:misc_RNA from 1 species